rnacentral:rRNA from 1 species
UCGAGAAUCUUCGGCAAUGGGCGCAAGCCUGACCGAGCGACGCCGCGUGGAGGACGAAGGCCUUCGGGUUGUAAACUCCUGUCGAGGGGGAGGAAGGCGCAAGCUUGACCGAUCCCUGGAGGAAGCACGGGCUAAGUUCGUGCCAGCAGCCGCGGUAAGACGAACCGUGCGAACGUUAUUCGGAAUCACUGGGCUUAAAGCGCGUGUAGGCGGGCCGCCACGUCGGCUGCUGAAAUCCCCCGGCUCAACCGGGGAACGGGCACCGAUACGAGCGGCCUCGAGGGGGGUAGGGGGACCUGGAACUUCCGGUGGAGCGGUGAAAUGCGUUGAGAUCGGAAGGAACGCCCGUGGCGAAAGCGAGGUCCUGGACCCUUUCUGACGCUGAGACGCGAAAGCCAGGGGAGCGAACG